rnacentral:rRNA from 1 species
AUUGAACGCUGGCGGCAUGCUUUACACAUGCAAGUCGAACGGUAACAGGCCGCAAGGUGCUGACGAGUGGCGAACGGGUGAGUAAUGCAUCGGAACGUGCCCAGUCGUGGGGGAUAACGCAGCGAAAGCUGCGCUAAUACCGCAUACGAUCUCUGGAUGAAAGCGGGGGACCGAAAGGCCUCGCGCGAUUGGAGCGGCCGAUGUCAGAUUAGGUAGUCGGUGGGGUAAAGGCCCACCAAGCCAACGGUCUGUAGCUGGUCUGAGAGGACGACCAGCAACACUGGGACUGAGACACGGCCCAGACUCCGACGGGAGGCAGCAGUGGGGAAUUUUGGACAAUGGGCGCAAGCCUGAUCCAGCAAGCCGCGUGCAGGAAGAAGGCCUUCGGGUUGUAAACUGCUUUUGUACGGAACGAAACGGUCCGGGUUAAUACCCUGGGCUAAUGACGGUACCGUAAGAAUAAGCACCGGCUAACUACGUGCCAGCCGCCGCAGUAAAAC